UCUGGUGGCGAGUGGCGAACGGGUGAGUAAUAUAUCGGAACGUGUCCAAUAAUGGGGGAUAACUAGUCGAAAGAUUAGCUAAUACCGCAUACGCCCUGAGGGGGAAAGUGGGGGAUCUUCGGACCUCACGUUAAUGGAGCGGCCGAUAUCUGAUUAGCUAGUUGGUAGGGUAAAAGCCUACCAAGGCGACGAUCAGUAGCUGGUCUGAGAGGAUGAUCAGCCACACUGGGACUGAGACACGGCCCAGACUCCUACGGGAGGCAGCAGUGGGGAAUUUUGGACAAUGGGCGCAAGCCUGAUCCAGCCAUGCCGCGUGAGUGAAGAAGGCCUUCGGGUUGUAAAGCUCUUUCGCAAGGAAAGAAAACUUACAUGUAAAUAAUGUGUGAGGUUGACGGUACCUUGAUAAGAAGCACCGGCUAACUACGUGCCAGCAGCCGCGGUAAUACGUAGGGUGCAAGCGUUAAUCGGAAUUACUGGGCGUAAAGCGAGCGCAGGCGGUUUUGUAAGUCAGAUGUGAAAGCCCCGGGCUCAACCUGGGAACUGCGUUUGAAACUACAAGGCUAGAGUAUGGGAGAGGGGGGUAGAAUUCCACGUGUAGCAGUGAAAUGCGUAGAGAUGUGGAGGAAUACCAAUGGCGAAGGCAGCCCCCUG
rnacentral:rRNA from 1 species